GCAUAUGGCUUAGUGGUUAGGGUGUUGUACUCAGGAUUGCAAGAUCAUGGGUUCGAUUCCCAUAUUGUGCA
rnacentral:tRNA from 1 species